AGCAGCCGCGGUAAUUCCAGCUCCAAUAGCGUAUAUUAAAGUUGUUGCAGUUAAAAAGCUCGUAGUUGAAUUUCGGGGUUAGUAGGUUGGUCAUGCCUCUGGUAUGUACUGGUCUCACUGAUUCCUCCUUCCUUAUGAACCGUAAUGCCAUUAAUUUGGUGUUGCGGGGAAUUUGGACUGUUACUUUGAAAAAAUUAGAGUGUUUAAAGCAGGCUAACGCUUGAAUACAUUAGCAUGGAAUAAUGAAAUAGGACGUUCGAUCUUAUUUUGUUGGUUUCUAGGAUUGACGUAAUGAUUAAUAGGGAUAGUUGGGGGCAUUAGUAUUCAAUUGUCAGAGGUGAAAUUCUUGGAUUUAUUGAAGACUAACUACUGCGAAAGCAUUUGCCAAGGAUGUUUUCAUUAAUCAAGAACGAAAGUUAGGGGAUCGAAGACGAUCAGAUACCGUCGUAG
rnacentral:rRNA from 1 species